CAUGGCAGCGCGCAGAGCAGCUGUAGAGCAGCGGCGUGUUCGUGUGGUGGACGUUUUUUUUUUUCUGUUACACCGCAGCCGUCGCCGCUGCAUAGCGUAAUGGACGGUGCAGCAAAGUCCGGAGGUUACAGAAUUCAUUUGAAGAGCACACGAUGCUUACAUUUUGGCAGAAUAGCGAGCGGUAAGGCGGAUGCAACCGGGAUGCAGCGUUGAUCCAGGGGAAUCGAAAUUGUUUCGGCGUCGGCAUGUUUUCUUAAAGCAUUGCAGAGAUGAUCUGAAGUGUUUUAGCACGAAUGCUCAGCUUCAACAGCAGCAUCUUUCAACUGAGUGCUGGCAUUGAGUGCUUCACUUCAGAUGAAAAACUAAACCCACAUCCCAGGGUCAGUGGCUUUCCCAGGAACGCCUAGGACGUAGGAAUGCAUACUUGUCAUCCUUCACGCUCACACAGCAUGGCUCCCAGAAAUGGAAAGUUCACAAAGCUGCUGAAGGGCCCUUUAAUGAAGAUUACAAACACUACAAUAUGGAAGAGGAAAGUAGCACUAUCAAAGCCAGCUGUUGCACAGCUACAGCACAGCGAGAACAUCACCAUCACCGACGUGCAAGCUGAGCUUUUGGAUGGAAGCGUAGAGCACCCGAGAAACUGAUUGGCCAGCUUUUCAAGCCGCUUGGGUAACCAAGAAGGCAUCAAUGAUCUGUGAAUGAGGAAUGGAUAGUGCAAUACUGCCUGGUUAUAAUAUAGCAAUAUGUUGGCAGUGUUGCUGAAGUGAAUCUCAUAAUCCGGUAUUUAUUGCAAAGGCCACUCUU